AGUAGGGAAUCUUCGGCAAUGGGGGGAACCCUGACCGAGCAACGCCGCGUGAGUGAAGAAGGUUUUCGGAUCGUAAAGCUCUGUUGUAAGAGAAGAACGAGUGUGAGAGUGGAAAGUUCACACUGUGACGGUAUCUUACCAGAAAGGGACGGCUAACUACGUGCCAGCAGCCGCGGUAAUACGUAGGUCCCGAGCGUUAUCCGGAUUUAUUGGGCGUAAAGCGAGCGCAGGCGGUUAGAUAAGUCUGAAGUUAAAGGCUGUGGCUUAACCAUAGUACGCUUUGGAAACUGUUUAACUUGAGUGCAGAAGGGGAGAGUGGAAUUCCAUGUGUAGCGGUGAAAUGCGUAGAUAUAUGGAGGAACACCGGUGGCGAAAGCGGCUCUCUGGUCUGUAACUGACGCUGAGGCUCGAAAGCGUGGGGAGCAAA
rnacentral:rRNA from 1 species